rnacentral:misc_RNA from 1 species
GGAGAAAAGUCGUAACAAGGUUUCCGUAGGUGAACCUGCGGAAGGAUCAUUAUUGUAUAACCGAGGUGCGAGGGCUGUCGCUGACCCGAAAGGUCGUGCACGCCCGAGUGCCCUCACACACAUCCAUCUCACCCCUAUGUGCACCACCGCGUGGGUCCCCCUUUGGCUUGUUCGGAGGGGGGCUUACGUUUUCACACAAACUUUGUAUGCAGUGUAGAAUGUAUUUUUUGUUUUUGCGAUCACGCAAUCAAUACAACUUUCAACAACGGAUCUCUUGGCUCUC